AGGGACAUCCAGGCCCCCCACAUGGGAAGGCGCAGGGUCCCUGUCCCCCAAAUCCAGCAGGAACCCACAUGGGGCAGAGCACCGCCUGCUCCUGGGGUCCCCAUCCACCUUCACCCAUCACAGCUGGAAGCACAAAGUGGGGCCCUGCCCUUCACCAGCCAUCAGCUCCCCAGGGUGGCCUGAGGGACCCCAGCUGUCGACCCCUGCAGGCCCAGCCACUGCCUCCCACAAAGGGUCCUAAGCAGCUUCUUCCCUUUCCCUCCAGAGGAGCCUCCGAGACCACAUUGUCCCGCACCAGCGCUGUGCCGUCAGCCACAUCUGUCCUCCCGAGGGUGGGAGCUCAGGGCUGGCUCUGCUCCUCUAACCGCAGCAGACCAGAGGCAGCAGCCAGAAAGCAGGACGCAGGCGGGGCAAGGAUACACUGUCAUCCAGUGCUAGGAGCCACUGCUUGAGGAAGCCUGGGUUUGUCACCGCCUGCAGCCGCAGACCACUCCUGCCUCAAACCGACGUCACAGCACUGCAGAGCAGGCCAGCUCUGGCUGCACACGGCCGCCUCCAUCUCUACACAACUUUGAGUCACAGAAGUGUCAUGUGACCUGCAGAAGCCAAGGGUCCUCCUCUUUGCGGGUCUCUUUUACUGACUGUGACUCCCAGCCGGGAGUCUUCUGCCUCCAGGAGACACCGGGCCUUGUCUGGGGACAUCUGUGGUUGUCUUGAAUGGGGGUGCUCCUGGCAUGGAGUGGAUGGAGGCCAGGGAUGCUGUUCAGCACCCUGCAGUGCCCAGGACGGCCCCACCCCAGAGAACAGUUUGGUCCCAAUGUCCACAGGGGGAGACACCCAGCCCAACUCAUAGGAAGACCCAGGGCAGGUGAUGGUGGGCUGUGUAGACCACCCGUUCACAAGAGAGACACUGGGAGGACAGGGGACACCUGCCAACUGUUUCAUGUGCUGUGAGAGACCAGGAAUAGCUUGGACAGAUCGUUCCUGGAUAACACAGACAGCUUCCUGUUUAAAAAACGAAACUCCGGCCGGGUGCAGUGGCUCACUCCUAUAAUCCCAGCACUUUGGGAGGCUGAGGUGGGCAGAUGAGUUGAGCCCACGAGUUGGAGACCAGCCUGACCAACAUGGCGAAACCCCAUCUCUACUAAAAAUACAAAAAUUAGCUGGGUGUUGUGACGGGCUCCUGUAAUCCCAGCAACGUGGGAGGCUAAGGCAGGAGAAUCGCUUGAACCCGGGAGGCAGAGGUUGCAGUGAGCCGAGAUUGCCCUACUGCACUCCAGCCUGGGCAACAAGAGCAAGACUCGGUCUCAAAAAUACACAAAAAACCAGAACUCCAAGCGCAGAGCACCCAGUGCCACCUUUGCCCGAAUGCAACGCUCCUGGCUGGGCCAUGGCUACCCUUAGGCCCGUGCCUGGCCAGAGGCUUUUCUUGUCUAUGACCAGGCAGGUCACAGAUGGGAGGGACCCACGUCAGGCCCAGCCACUGCCCUGCCGGACACAGACCCAGCAGCCUUGCCUAGACCCCAGGUGGGUCCAGGUUUUUCUGUUGGGACAGAGAGGUUGGGCAGGGGUGGGGGUGUCACUCAGCUCUGCAAGCUGGAGAAUUGACUUGGGACUUGGGCUCGGGGUCUCAGCUGGGCGCAGGGACGGGCUCCAGUGGGAAGGAAGCACCUUAUGGGGUUCUCAGCACAGACAGCUGGAUGGCAUCGCUGGAUUCCCCCACCUGGAUCUGGAGACAAAAGGAGAAAAUGACGAGACGGCACCCAGGCCUGCGGGGUUGAGUCAGCCGUAAUAACAGCCUGUCGGCCC